rnacentral:misc_RNA from 1 species
GAUGAAGAACGUAGCGAAAUGCGAUACGUAGUGUGAAUUGCAGAAUUCCGUGAACCAUCGAAUCUUUGAACGCAUAUUGCGCCCAAGACCUCGGUCUAGGGCAUGUCUGCCUCAGCGUCGGUUUACCCCCCUCGCUCCCCCCUCUUGGAUAACUCCAAGACAGUCGGGCUGGCUGUCAAUGCCAGCCUUGGGAGCGGAACUGGCUCUCCCACCGCGCUUGCGCUGUGGGUUGGCUGAAAAGCAGAGGCUAGAGCAGAGACCCGUCAAGGGCUCAACUGGAUAGGUAGAUGCCAGCCUCACCGCUGCCCUACACGAAGUUGAUGCCUGUGGACUCUCGCUGGCGGCCCACUUUCGGUGCCUUGUGCGCUGAAAACCAACCAACCAUUCGACCUGAGCUCAGGCAAGAACACCCGCUGAACUUAAGCAUAUCAAUAAGCGGAGGA